rnacentral:rRNA from 1 species
ACUUACGGCCAUACCAUCCUGAAUACGCCCGAUCUCGUCUGAUCUCGGAAGCUAUGCAGGAUCGGUCCUGGUUAGUACUUGGAUGGGAGACCGCCUGGGAAUACCAGGUGCUGUAAAUG